GACGAACGCUGGCGGCGUGCUUAACACAUGCAAGUCGAACGGAAAGGCCCUGCUUUUGUGGGGUGCUCGAGUGGCGAACGGGUGAGCAACACGUGAGUAACCUGCCCUUGACUUUGGGAUAACUUCAGGAAACUGGGGCUAAUACCGGAUAGGAGCUCCUGCUGCAUGGUGGGGGUUGGAAAGUUUCGGCGGUUGGGAAUGGACUCGCGGCUUAUCAGCUUGUUGGUGGGGUAGUGGCUUACCAAGGCUUUGACGGGUAGCCGGCCUGAGAGGGUGACCGGCCACAUUGGGACUGAGAUACGGCCCAGACUCCUACGGGAGGCAGCAGUGGGGAAUAUUGCACAAUGGGCGGAAGCCUGAUGCAGCAACGCCGCGUGCGGGAUGACGGCCUUCGGGUUGUAAACCGCUUUCGCCUGUGACGAAGCGUGAGUGACGGUAAUGGGUAAAGAAGCACCGGCUAACUACGUG
rnacentral:rRNA from 1 species